rnacentral:lncRNA from 1 species
UGCAGAGACAGCCUGUCCUUCAGGCAAGAAGGCCCGCGAGAUAGACGAGAGCCUCAUCUUCUACAAGAAGUGGGAGCUGGAAGCCUGCGUGGAUGCGGCCCUGCUGGCCACCCAGAUGGACCGCGUGAACGCCAUCCCCUUCACCUACGAGCAGCUGGACGUCCUAAAGCAUAAACUGGAUGAGUCUACCCACAAGGUUACCCCGAGUCUGUGAUCCAGCACCUGGGCUACCUCUUCCUCAAGAUGAGCCCUGAGGACAUUCGCAAGUGGAAUGUGACGUCCCUGGAGACCCUGAAGGCUUUGCUUGAAGUCAACAAAGGGCACGAAAUGAGUCCUCAGUGGCCACCCUGAUCGACCGCUUUGUGAAGGGAAGGGGCCAGCUAGACAAAGACACCCUAGACACCCUGACCGCCUUCUACCCUGGGUACCUGUGCUCCCUCAGCCCCGAGGAGCUGAGCUCCGUGCCCCCCAGCAGCAUCUGGCGGUCAGGCCCCAGGACCUGGACACGUGUGACCCAAGGCAGCUGGACGUCCUCUAUCCCAAGGCCCGCCUUGCUUUCCAGAACAUGAACGGGUCCGAAUACUUCGUGAAGAUCCAGUCCUUCCUGGUGGGGCCCCCACGGAGGAUUUGAAGGCGCUCAGUCAGCAGAAUGUGAGCAUGGACUUGGCCACGUUCAUGAAGCUGCGGACGGAUGCGGUGCUGCGUUGACUGUGGCUGAGGUGCAGAAACUUCUGGGACCCCACGUGGAGGGCCUGAAGGCGGAGGAGCGGCACCGCCCGGUGCGGGACUGGAUCCUACGGCAGCGGCAGGACGACCUGGACACGCUGGGGCUGGGGCUACAGGGCGGCAUCCCCAACGGCUACCUGGUCCUAGACCUCAGCAUGCAAGGUGGGCGGGGCGGCCAGGCCAGGGCUGGGGGCAGAGCUGGGGGCGUGGAGGUGGGCGCUCUGAGUCACCCCUCUCUCUGUAGAGGCCCUCUCGGGGACGCCCUGCCUCCUAGGACCUGGACCUGUUCUCACCGUCCUGGCACUGCUCCUAGCCUCCACCCUGGCCUGAGGGCCCCACUCCCUUGCUGGCCCCAGCCCUGCUGGGGAUCCCCGCCUGGCCAGGAGCAGGCACGGGUGGUCCCCGUUCCACCCCAAGAGAACUCGCGCUCAGUAAACGGGAACAUGCCCCCUGCAGACACGU